rnacentral:rRNA from 1 species
AUUCCAGCUCCAAUAGCGUAUAUUAAAGUUGCUGCAGUUAAAAAGCUCGUAGUUGGAUUUGUGGCGCGGCCGUCCGGCGGGGCUCCUUCAUUGGGGCCGUUUGUCUGGUUUUUCGGCCGCUCCAUUCUCGGGUAGUGUGUCGCUGGCAUUAGGUUGUCGGCUUCUUCACGCCCGUCGUUUACUGUGAAAAAAUUAGAGUGUUCAAAGCAGGCUUAGGCCAUUGGAUACAUUAGCAUGGAAUAAUGAGAUAGGGCCACGACGGUCUAUUUUGUUGGUUUGCACGUUGUGGUAAUGAUUAACAGGAACGGUUGGGGGUAUUCGUAUUCAAUUGUCAGAGGUGAAAUUCUUGGAUUUAUGGAAGACGAACUACUGCGAAAGCAUUUACCAAGGAUGUUUUCAUCG